rnacentral:rRNA from 1 species
AAAUUGAAGAGUUUGAUCAUGGCUCAGAUUGAACGCUGGCGGCAGGCUUAACACAUGCAAGUCGAACGGUAGCAGGAAGAAGCUUGCUUCUUUGCUGACGAGUGGCGGACGGGUGAGUAAUGCUUGGGAAUCUGGCUUAUGGAGGGGGAUAACUACGGGAAACUGUAGCUAAUACCGCGUAAUAUCUUCGGAUUAAAGGGUGGGACUUUCGGGCCACCUGCCAUAAGAUGAGCCCAAGUGGGAUUAGGUAGUUGGUGGGGUAAAGGCCUACCAAGCCGACGAUCUCUAGCUGGUCUGAGAGG